rnacentral:ribozyme from 1 species
AAGAGAAGAAAAGAGUAGAAAAGAGAAGAAAGAAUCACUAAAAACCAAAGGAAGAUCAAAACAGAUCGAGUGCUCUCUUUCUCCUUCUUUCGAUCCCUCUUUCUCUCUGUCUU